AGUGAACGCUGGCGGUAGGCCUAACACAUGCAAGUCGAACGGCAGCACAGUAAGAGCUUGCUCUUACGGGUGGCGAGUGGCGGACGGGUGAGGAAUACAUCGGAAUCUACUUUUUCGUGGGGGAUAACGUAGGGAAACUUACGCUAAUACCGCAUACGACCUACGGGUGAAAGCAGGGGAUCUUCGGACCUUGCGCGAUUGAAUGAGCCGAUGUCGGAUUAGCUAGUUGGCGGGGUAAAGGCCCACCAAGGCGACGAUCGGUGGCUGGUCUGAGAGGAUGAUCAGCCACACUGGAACUGAGACACGGUCCAGACUCCUACGGGAGGCAGCAGUGGGGAAUAUUGGACAAUGGGCGCAAGCCUGAUCCAGCCAUACCGCGUGGGUGAAGAAGGCCUUCGGGUUGUAAAGCCCUUUUGUUGGGAAAGAAAAGCAGCAGGUUAAUACCCCGCUGUUCUGACGGUACCCAAAGAAUAAGCACCGGCUAACUUCGUG
rnacentral:rRNA from 1 species